rnacentral:rRNA from 1 species
UUCACAAAUCGGACGGGAUGUGGUGCACUCGGCCAAGUAUGGUCGUACCC